GACGAACGCUGGCGGCGUGCCUAAUACAUGCAAGUAGAACGCUGAAGGAGGAGCUUGCUUCUCUGGAUGAGUUGCGAACGGGUGAGUAACGCGUAGGUAACCUGCCUGGUAGCGGGGGAUAACUAUUGGAAACGAUAGCUAAUACCGCAUAAGAGUAGAUGUUGCAUGACAUUUGCUAAAAAGGUGCAAUUGCAUCACUACCAGAUGGACCUGCGUUGUAUUAGGUAGUGGGUGGGGUAACGGCUCACCAAGGCGACGAUACAUAGCGGACCUGGGAGGGGGAUCGGCCACACUGGGACUGAGACACGGCCCAGACUCCUACGGGAGGCAGCAGUAGGGAAUCUUCGGCAAUGGACGGAAGUCUGACCGAGCAACGCCGCGUGAGUGAAGAAGGUUUUCGGAUCGUAAAGCUCUGUUGUAAGAGAAGAACGAGUGUGAGAGUGGAAAGUUCACACUGUGACGGUAUCUUACCAGAAAGGGACGGCUAACUACGUG
rnacentral:rRNA from 1 species